GACGAACGCUGGCGGCGUGCUUAACACAUGCAAGUCGAACGAAGUGGCGAACGGGUGAGUAACGCGUAAUCAACCUGCCCUUCAGAGGGGGCCAACAGUUGGCAACGACUGCUAAUACCGCAUACUGAAGGUGGGGAUUGGGUCUGAUUAGCUAGUUGGAGGGGUAACGGCCCACCAAGGCGAUGAUCAGUAGCCGGUCUGAGAGGAUGAACGGCCACAUUGGGACUGAGACACGGCCCAGACUCCUACGGGAGGCAGCAGUGGGGAAUCUUGCGCAAUGGACGAAAGCCUGACGGAGCAACGCCGCGUGAGUGAAGACGGCCUUCGGGUUGUAAAGCUCUGUUAGUCGGGACGCGGUACCGCAGUAGAAAGCCACGGCUAACUACGUGCAAGCAGCGGCGUAAUUC
rnacentral:rRNA from 1 species